UAUAGGGGUAAACAUACUAUAUACAGGGUCAGUACCAUAUUAUAAUGUACAGGGAUACUGGAUCUAUAGAGGUAGAUAUGUAUAGGGGUAAACAUACUAUAUACAGGGUCAGUACCAUAUUAUAAUGUACAGGGAUACUGGAUCUAUAGAGGUAGAUAUGUAUAGGGGUAAACAUACUAUAUACAGGGUCAGUUCCAGUACCAUAUUAUAAUGUACAGGGAUACUGGAUCUAUAGAGGUAGAUAUGUAUAGGGGUAAACAUACUAUAUACAGGGUCAGUACCAUAUUAUAAUGUACAGGGAUACUGGAUCUAUAGAGGUAGAUAUGUAUAGGGGUAAACAUACUAUAUACAGGGUCAGUACCAUAUUAUAAUGUACAGGGAUACUGGAUCUAUAGAG
rnacentral:lncRNA from 1 species